CUUCUGGAAAUCCCCAUGUGAUGGUGCACUCCAUAUAUUUUAUGGAAAUAUGCUUAUGAGUGUGAAUAUGAUGUAACUGGAAUAAGCUUGAUGCAAAAGGUCUCUUGCAAGGUAUCACAAUAAAGGUUAUAACCUACUGAAUAUAUUCCUUCUAUUUGUA